UACGUAUGUCCCGAGCGUUAUCCGGAUUUACUGGGCGUAAAGCGAGCGCAGACGGUUGAUUAAGUCUGAUGUGAAAGCCCGGAGCUCAACCCCGGAAUGGCAUUGGAAACUGGUUAGCUUGAGUGUUGUAGAGGUAAGUGGAACUCCAUGUGUAGUGGUGGAAUGCGUAGAGAUAUGGAGGAACACCAGUGGCGAAGGCGGCUUACUGGACAACUACUGACGCUGAGGCUCGAAAGCGUGGGUAGCAAACAGG
rnacentral:rRNA from 1 species